rnacentral:rRNA from 11 species
UAAGGUAGCGAAAUUCCUUGUCGGGUAAGUUCCGACCUGCACGAAUGGUGUAACGAUUUGGGUGCUGUCUCAGCCGUGAGCUCGGUGAAAUUGUAGUCUCGGUGAAGAUGCCGAGUACCCGCCACGGGACGGAAAGACCCCGUGCACCUUUACUAUAGGUUGACAUUGACGCUGGGUAACACAUGUGUAGCAUAGGUGGGAGACGUUGAGCCAGGGGCGCCAGCCUUUGGGGAGUCGCCGUUGAAAUACCACCCUUGUGUUGCUUGGUGCCUAAUCUGGAAUACGGAAACAGUGUCUGCUGGGUAGUUUGACUGGGGUGGUCGCCUCCAAAAGAGUAUCGGAGGCUUUCAAAGGUCCACUCAAUCCGCUUGGUAACCGGAUGUAGAGCGCAAUAGUAGAAGUGGGCUUGACUGUGAGACUGACUAGUCGAGCAGGGUCGAAAGACGGAUAUAGUGAUCCGGUGGUUCCGCAUGGAAGGGCCAUCGCUCAAAGGAUAAAAGGUACGCCGGGGAUAACAGGCUGAU